AGAGCAGCACAUGAAGCAGAGACUCAGCUAAUGUGGAGCACUGCAAACCAAGGAGAACACCAUUGCAGUUCACACAGGGUAACAAGCGGCGUCCGUAUCUUCUGGGUACUUUGGCUGGUUGGGGAGUGAGCCCUUGACUUCCCAGCUGGGGCUGAAGUGUUCUUCUCCUCUGCUCCCAUCCCAGAUGCUCUCCUGAGUUUCUCGUGCUGCUCCCCAGCUCAUCCCCUCUCCUCCCUCUUGCCCGGUGAGGAUGUAGUUUAACUCACAAUGUUCUCUUGGCCAAACCCAGCCACGGCAACCCAGUCCCUUCUUAUCUGUUGUCACAGGGGAGGUGGCCCCUUCUGCCCCGCUGCUGGCCCUUUCCAUCCUCCUGGGGGGCUCCUUGGUGCUUGCAAGGGGCUGAUAUUCAAUCAGUAAUUGCAACAGCACCCCAGCGGGGCUCAGAAGGGCAGGAGGGCCAGGACAAAGUGAGCUGCAUCAGGAGCAUGUUCUGCGAGGUGCUGGUGCCUCUGUGUCCCCAAAAUAGCCCCCACUGCCGCUGCAGGGCUGAGGAAGAUGCAAGCAGGAGGCGGGAGUGGAGAACGAUUUGAGCAACCUCUGUACCGCCGGUCCAGACACACACCACCGCACCGUUGACUUAGCAGCCGCUGCUGACAGAGAAGUGAUAAAGCUCUCGGAGAUAUUCCUGUCUCAUCUGUCUCGGGUAAAUCAGAGGAAAGGCUGGAAACAUCAGAGGAGGCAAAAUGCAAAAGCAAUAAAAAACUCCUGACUCUCA
rnacentral:lncRNA from 1 species